CCCAAGUAGUGUGUGUGAAAUGAUUUGCCAAGAAUUCUGUAUGCAUAAGGGAUAAGAGUGCGUGAAAUUUUCCACCUGAUUUAACAUCAUUUUGUUAAAAACUCCACUCGAUUUAAUCCAUUUAUCCUCAAUGUAGCACCAACACAGCCGCACGUAGAUUAGUCAAUUAUUGAUGUGACGUUAUCUCGUUGAAUUUCUUGAUUGUUCUGUAUCACCAAGUAUAGAUACAUCUUCGAUCUACUGAGAAUGUUUUGCUCACCAUGAGAGCAACAACAAUGCCAUGAACUAGAAUACAGUGAUGGAAUCCUUGUAUUAAGUUCAACCCAACCGAUUAUCACCAAGGAUUUGCUCUUUGAGGAACGCGAAUUAGCUCGGGGAAUACUAUAACUGCAUAUUAUAUACUACGUUUAUAAUAUGCAGUCGACAUUAGGCGUACAGAGCAACGCAUACCUCAUGUGAAAUGUAUCAUGCACGCCAUCAGAAAUAGAAAACCAGUCAGUCAUACAUAAGACAUGUGAACCAUUCCAGUACAUUUAUAUCUACAAGCUUCUUUCGGAGGAUUAUUUCAACACUAUAAUCUGAUCUACACACGGACAAUGUACUAAAUUUGUUUUUGAUCCAUACUGGAAGUAUCUUGAUUGCAGACAACUUCAAAACGAUACAAUAACAAACAGCCGAAAACAUUUCAGUUUCCCUACGAGUUGAUUUAAGAAACCAUCGCUUCGGUGACACGAAUAUAUGUAUUGUCAAUACAUGCCAAUAGGGUAAUUUCAACUGAGGCAAACACAUAGGUUGUUGAUGUGGGUAAAUUAAAAAAUUAAAAAAAGCCCAUAUAAUUUAUAAAUUCAACAGAAGCAUGUCAUAUUGUUAGAUGAUAUCUGAAACGAACGGUACAUUGCUGCUGCACCUAUAUAGGGGAACUGGGGGGAAGCCUGACACCCUGGGUAAGCCCGACACCCCACGACUUUUCCCAGAUAUCAAAUUUUAAAUCAUACAAUAAUGACCGGAUAUUAUUAGUACGACUAUUUUAGGCAUUUCGAUACAUGUCGAUGCCAUAUGGGUUCAUUAAACGUCAACAAAAUAAACAAAACAAGCAAAGCUGAUGCGCUUUUGGAUGUUAUUUUUAGUUGAUACAUUUUAAGGUUUUAAUAACAAAAGCUUUGAAAAUGACCAGUUUUUUUGUCACACAUUCUAUUCUACUCUCCAUAUCGUUAUUUGUGUGUAUUGAAGAUAAGUUUGAGUAUUUCAAUACUGUUAAUUGAGCAUUUAACAAAAAUGUGCGCUGUUGGGGUAAGACCGACAGUUUUUGGGUGGGGUAAGACCGACACGGUGUUUGGAUGAUUGGGUUCGUUUUUGAUUCGAUACAAACGACUCGGUAUAUUUGUUGUGUUCGAUUAUACUAUAAUUACGUCAUGUUAAUAAUUGAAAUACACGUAAACUAUGUUUUUUGCAUUUAUUUAUCAGUAUUGUCUCAAGUCGACCAAAAAAAUUAAAAAUUAAAUUGAACGUGAUUCAUAAAAAUAUUACAAAAAGAAACGAAAAGUAUAAUCUAAUAUGAGAUUUUGAAAUGAUAUUGAUGAAAAAUUUCCAUUGACCGUCGGAUAUUUGAUCAACAGUGUUCCGAAAAAUCACAACACGAACCGGAUAGCUUACUACGAAGCGUGCGUCACUUCUAAGUGAAUGAGUCCUAGUAACAGCCUAUAUAAUCUGCUUGCAGAAUAGCUCUUCCUCGUUAGAAUGGCUAUACAAGUGGCAAUAAAGCUCGAAAGAAUUACUUGAGAAAACCCGUACCAUUACCAUAAUAUAAACCAAGCGUUAAUUAUUAUUUUUUCAUAACACCACGCAUUCGAAUGCUCUUCCUCUUGCUACGCGAUGAAACUACAGAAAGCAUGCGUUUGCAUCACACAUACUCAUAUACACAUAAUUGCACUUUAUCACACAUACACAAUACACUUUUAAUGGAAAAAAAAUGGACAAAAAGAAAGUUCAAAAGGGGGUCGCUCUUGCCCCUUUGGGGUGUCGGUCUUACCCGCAGCGUUUUUAAAAUGUCAUUUUUCUCCACUUUUUGGCAACCAAUAAUUUUAAAUGAAUUCAAUUUUUUGAAACGCUGAAAAAAUUAUACUUUGUUAAGAACCACCCAAACAAGGAUUAUGCACAGAAUAUACAAUUUUAGGAGCUUCAUUUAAUUUUAGAAAAAUUAUUGCGCGUAAGGUGUCGGACUUGCCCCGCGUUCCCCUACUAGGGGGUUAUUCCGAACAGUAACUUUAGGUGAGGCGACACUUUUUCUCACUCGCGCGAUCACCGAAGUCACCUAAGGUGAGACGAGUCACUCACGUGACUCUCUGUCACGCUAUUCUGGUGUGUCACCGCAUUCUGUUAGUCGUUUCAGGUGACAGAAAAGUGAAGAAAAAGGGGGUUAUUCUGACGGUCACUUUCGGUGAGGUGACACAAAUCUCACGUGACUAAGGUGAUCGUAAAUUUUCAAGUCAUCUUACUUAAAGUGAGAGAUGUCACCAAGGUGACAAAUUUUGUCACAUUAGGUGACUAAGGGAAUAUGGAAAGUGACUAAUGGGGGUGACUUUUGGAAUAAGAAAAAACGAUGCAACUGAGGUGAGGCGGUUGAUAGUUUGAAUUUUGAUUGUCGAUUUUAUUUUUUACAUUUUAGCAACUCUGUAAACCUGUUGGAAAUUUGUAAUGAAGUAUGAGUUUCCAUAAUUUUAUUAACCAUUGAAAUUAAUUUAACCAGUUUUUUGUGACUCUGGUAUAUGAAAUAUUUUUGAGAUUGGAGCACCUAAGGGAUCUAUCUGCUGCACAGCGAUUUUUUGAAUAAUAUUUGCAUCACAGGGAAUGUGUUACAGGUUUGGAGUUAUCCUUCUCCGCUAUAUUAUUCUGAGCUACGAUAAUGACCAUAAAAGCACUGAUGAAAUAAAAGAUGACAACAACAUAGCUGUUGGUUUUUUAGAAAUAAUAAUUGUCAAACAAUUGUCAUUUUUAUUAGACACAACUUGUCUGACAAAUUUGUUUUUGGUUAUCAUUUUGGGAUGUGGAGGAUGGUACAAACAUGGGGAAAUAAGGAAAGUGACAGUUUUAGGAUACGCUUGAAACAGUUCGUUACAAAUAAAUGGUAGUUGGAGAUAAUAAGCUUUGUUUGCACUCCUGUUAGUCUGUGGAUAGUAUUUUCCAGUUAAAAAUGAAACUUGUGAUUUCAAUUUGCACAAUGUGGUUGGAUAAGACCAAAUAAACAUAGAAGCUUUUUCAUUUUGCAACAUAUAUUUUAUUUAGGCCAUCAAUCAAUAUAGAUGAUUGGGAAUGCGCCUCUACUUGGUAUUGAAAGUCAAUUGAAGAGAUGUUUUGAUGGGAUCUAAAAAGCAUGUUCCAUUACGGCAUAGAUCAUCUUUUAAGAGUAUCUAGCUCCAGGGGAAAAUAAAUUCAUCGUUACAUGUAAGAUGUUGGUUUUUUGUGUUACUGUUUGUGGGUUCGCGGCUACUCUUAUUCCCCGGGGAUAGUCGUUGCGAUUCCGGUAGGGGUCUGCUUAAUUCCCAUCGCUUGGUAUUGACGUUCUGGGGUGGGAAUGGAAAGCCUCUUUUUGGUCUUCGGGUAUCGGGCACGUGAUUUGUUGUAAGAAGGUUUUCGGAUCUGGUUUAAGGUUCAGGUUCGUACCUAAAGUUCUGGAUUUAUCCGCUUACUUCUGUUAAUGAGUGGUUACUUUCACGCGAUGUUAUGUAGUAAUAGAAGUAGAUUGACGUUACGUAUUCUGCUGCGGCGGGCCAUCGAGGCGCGCGUUUGUCUUUUAUGUUUAGAGUGUUAAGCUAAGAUUGCCGGACACACGGCCUAUGUAGCCCGCAACGACGGCCUGUUGUCUCUUUCAAGGUUCAGAACUAGGACUGAUUAGGGCGAGCCAGGCAAAUUCUAAAUUGUUACGUACACCGGCAACUUAAGUUUAUGCUAGCUAGUCUGUGAAAAUCUUGUGUUAUAUAAGCAUGCAUGAAAUAUAUUUUUCAUAUUCUACUAUUGAUUCAGAAGUUCAAAAAUUGAAGCAUAUCCCACCAUAUGUAUUUCGGAAAUUGUGUUCCUAUUGAAAAUAAUGAAAUAAUAAUAAUUACUAACACAUUGAAAACAUUAUUAUGACGGACAUAGUAUAUCCAUAAUUUGUAUAAUUACUCUAUAUGGUCAUUGCCGCAUUUUUCAGAAGUAUCAUGAACAUAAAUUGUUUCGGGGGUCCUAUGGAAUUUUAGUCGAACCCUUUUGGAGAAAGUGUUUUUAUGAAGAUCUACGACCGAUUAAGUAAAUAGAUACUUUAUUUCAGUUUGGGAGGGACUAUUGAAACGAUUUGAACAGUUGUUAACAUUUAGUAAAUAUAUGGUGGGCUCUCCUCACCAAUUGGGAUUGCAUUUUACUACCAUUGCGAUCAAUUACAGUGGCCCAGUACGAUAAUUGAGGAAACUACGUUUCCCGUUAAAUCUGUUGCUUCUAGGUUUAUGUCGUUUUCGAAUCAUCUUUUCGCAUAAUUGGGUGCAGCGAACUCUAGCGUGUGUUUGCUGAAAACUGCUGCUGCUUUAUAAAAAAAUUGUCAUCGUGAUAAGAAUGUGUAAUCCCUAUUGAGCUUCAUUGCAUUGUAAAUGCUAUAAAAAGGGGCAGAUUAGUGCAAAUGUAUAAUCGUGGGUGAAUGGAGAACAGUGAGUCUAAUUAUGUAAGGUAUGAAAACUAUGCUCAAUGGAACUAUUCAAGUCAGUCUAGGAUCACAUACAUUUGGAGCAACAUCAGAUGUUGCUUCAAGAUGUUCUCAACCCCGAUUUGGCAACUUUCACGCCGCCACCCAUGUUACGGCUUGGCAAGGCUAGACUGGUGUCGAAAGGGGUCAAUUAAGCCUGUCUGACGUAUUCUUUAUGGUCACAUCAUUACCGUUUCUGCGUUAAAAUAGGCAUACGGCCUUUGUUGAUUUUAAAAUUAGGGAAUAUGUAUGAAUUGACAUUUAAUGUCUUUUUUGCUUCAGAUAGUUGAUAUUUACGCCACCAGAGUUCCAAAGAAAGUGGCAGAUUCAAUGACAGAGAUAUCGAUUCUAUGAGACGAUCGACUGACGUUGUCAAAAUAGCAGAAGAGAUGAGCAGUGGUAAGCUGCAACUUAAUAUGUUUUAAAAGAGGAACUCAAACAGUUCAGGGACUGUACGGGAUGGCGCUAGGCCUGUGACCUUCGACUGGCAUGGUCCAUUCUCAUUGGUUCGAAUGUCUUCACGGCUGGUUGGUAGACGUGUGCUUCUACUUACAAAUGGAUAUAUCUUUUCCCUUGGAUGGAGGGAUAUGUGGAUCCUGUUGGUUAUCGACUUUGGCCUUGAGUUCGGGAAAGGAGUACAGGAGUGGUACCUAAAAAAUAGACAAUUAUUCAGGAUUUUUUUAUGAUCAUUUAGCUCGACCAAGCUCAACGGCUCUUAGAAAUGGUAAGCAACCCUUUCGGGUCGAUGCGGUCUGUUUAAGUCGAACCAGAGCGACAUUCGUUUCGGGAAAAAUUUAUAUGGAAUGGUGGAUAAAUAUUUCUCAUGUCCUUUAUGGGCAGAGAUUCUUUUUGUGAAACCCAAAAAGAACUUUUCCCGUUUGGCUACUCAGCAUAAUGAUGAUAGAAAAAAUUCGUAACAAAUAUGAAUAUUGACUGCAACAGGGAUGAUCAAAUUCUGUAUGCAUGUGUGCCUAUAUGUGGAUGUUCAUAGGAGCAAUGUAUCCCUAGCAACACGAAAGGACAAACUCUGAGCCGCCAUAACGCUCAUGGGAAGGCUGGUGCACAGUUCUAGAUGCACAGAGCUCUGCACACGCUGACAUGUGCAACGGUGAGCCGAUAGGUGUACAUUUAAUGUACAUAGGUUGCAAAAAUAGGUUAUUGAGACAGCCCGAUUGCACACUGAUAAAUAACAAUAACAUUAGCGCAAAUGUAUAGAAAAUAUUGUGCAAUACUUAGGUUCAUUGCUAUGUUCUGUGCAUGCCAUAGAGAUAGAAAGUACAUGUAAUUGCUUAGUGGGAACGCAAAUCUUUGUACUGUAAGUAUAUCUGUUGACAUAUAUCAGUGGCAACAACUUUUUCGUUUUGCAUAGUUUACUUAAGGUGUCAAAAUCACAACAAAGGUUCAGUUAUGUUCGGCUUACGUUACAACAUCUGUGUGCAGCUAGAGCGUGCUAUACCGUUAGUAGAUGGGAUGCACACAAGUGUAUCGUUUAGUAAUCAGCUGGCUGAUUUUUUACCGCGUGUUUCAUUUGUUUUGAAAAACAAACAGGUACGAAUUUCCUAAACGAAUCAAAAUUCCGUGAAGAGAAUUUACUCAUCUGCUUAUGCUAACAUGCGUACAUACAGUGAUAAAAUCUCUAAGCAAUCUGAACUAAGACAUUCAAGUUUCAAACGAUUUUGUCUUGCUAGCCAAUGCAAUGUUUUGAUUUUGACGAUGAAAUAAAAAGAAGCAGAAGCGACGGCAGCCAUUUUAGCUGCCACCUUGUGACUCUGUUCAGGAUGUCCCUAACUGCACAUUUUGGUGUAGCUAAUACAAUAAAACAAACAAUAGUGAGAAUUUCGCAUUGAAUCCACUUACGUCUCUUCUUAAUUUUCUUUUUGUUUCCUUGGUUCGAAGCGGAUCAAUCGACUAUUUAUGGAUGCGGUAAAAAUACUAGCAGUGUUAGUUCUUAUUCGCGAAUACUUUGUCCCACAACUGUGCUGUUUCACCUUCAUCUUAAACCAGAAUUCGAUUGUCCCUGUUCUAGUCAAUAGUGGUGAUUGUCAGGAUAUAGCUCAGGCAAAUACUCAUUUUGUCCUAUUAUCAUUAUUCUGACUAACUGAACGGGUGAAGACAUUUCAAAGUUUCACAAAAAGAAUCUCUGCCCAUAAAGAAUUUAAGUAAUAUUUACUCGCGAUUCCCCAUAAAGUUUUCUCGAACCGAAUGUCCAUCUGGUUCGGCUCGAACAGAUCACACCGACACCGACCCGAAAAGGCUACUCAGCAUUUCUAGAAGCCGCUGUACUUGGUCGAGCUAAAUAAUCUUUCCUGAUUUAGCUUCAUACCAAAGGCCAAAAGAGUCGACAACUAGCAGGAUCCACAUGUCCCCCACCCAAGUGAAUUGAUCUAGCCACUUGCACACAUCUACCAAAACCAGCCAAGAAGACUUCCGAGCCAAUGAGAAUAGACUAUGCCAAUCGAACGCCACAGGUCCAGCGCUAUCCCGUACCGCUCCUGAAAUUAUAUAUGUAUUAGUGCUACUUACAAAUUUCAGUAGUAGUAAGUGUCUCAGUCUCUCUUGUAAAACUCGCUUACUGCUCCUCAUCUCUUCCGGCAUUUCAUCGAAACCUCAAUUUUCUUCGGAACUCGUACAUGAGACUCUCAAGGAGCUAUACUGGUGCAAAAAAGAUAUUAUAGGGUGAUGAGCCGAUUUUCACCAUACUAAGCAAGGUGCCUCACUAAUUCGGCAAUUUCUUGCCUUACAAUUAAUGGAAUGCGUAAAACUUGACAUGAACCGCUUUGCUUUGUUGUUAAGAACCAAUAUAAUAACACAAAUGCGUUGAAAACAAUAAAAUUCUCGUGCUUGAGCACAAUGAAAACUCGAAUCGAGUGCCCCUAUUGUUGCGCUACCAUUUGACUCAAUGCGUUGAACAAAGAUGGCAGACACUGCUCUAACCAACGGCUUCAAAUGGGUAAGGUGAUAAUAGAAACAUGGCGCAAAUAGGCUCAUCACCCUAUAUUACUUUAUUCCCCACAUUCCCUAAUCUUAUAAUCAACAAAGGCUGUCUGCCAAUUCUAAUGCAGAAGCGCUAAUGAUGUGACCAUCAAGAAUACGUCAGACAACGAAGUGAAAACUGCCAAAUAGGAGUUGAGGACAGCUUGAAGCAACAUCUGAUGUUCCUCCAAAUGUAUGUGAUCCAAAACUGACUUGGAUAUCUCCAUUGAGCCUAGCUUGCAUAGCUUACAUUACUAGUCUCACUUUUCUCGUUUCACCGCAACAUUAUCAGCAUAAAUUAUGAUUUAGGAACACUUUAUCUAAUAAAAAUCAUUGCUGUUUCAACUAAAUUUAAAAUUUGUUUUCAAUAGGGAAAAGUUAAACGAUGCGCCAACGUAUAAUAAAUGGCUAAAAUAAUGACCCCAGAAUGUUGAUCUAAAUUUAAAUGUAUGAUCAAAUUCAAAACCAAUUGCUUUAAAUUAGCAAUCGCUCACAAUCAUAGAUCACGACCUAGAUUAGAGUGAUUCUUUAUUCACAAUUGAUAAAAAAGGACAUUAUUAUACGGUUCUAGCUAAACUUCUUUUGGUCUCACCUAAAAAAAUCUGUGUCGUUCACCAUAACAGAUCAGACGGUGUUUUCCCGACGAAAUAACAGAUCCCCAAUCAAUACAUUUCUCAAGCAGCAAAACUGCCCAAAUAAAAAAAAAUAUUAUACACAAACUUUAACCCAUAUAGUCCAACGAUUUCACAUAUUGUUUGGAUGAUACCCUGAACAGGUCGUUAGGUUCUUAAAUCACACGAUGUUUUUAGGGCGUGCACCCAUUCAAUGGCAUCCCGUGUUCAAUCACUCUACCAAAUAGAAUUUGGACUGGAUGAGAUCAAACUAUCGUCGAAGAAAUCAUCCGGAAUGUCAGGCUAACGACCACAUUAGUAACAUCAAAGCAAAAAAGUACUGAUUGGGUGUUGAAUGAUACCUUUUAAUGUGUAGUUAUUACAUAUCAACCUAGUGUAUAUGGAACUGCGAAUGAAAUAAGAUUUAUUUAUACGUAAGAACGCAGAAAAAUCUCUUUUCGAAUUUCUGUGUCCAAUGAAACAGUAACUACGAAACCUGGCAUCCGAAAAGAACUUCAUGGUAGAGUAGAUCAGUCAUAACAUUAUUACUAAGCUUAUUCUGAAUUACGACGGAUCACUUUUCGAACGAAUGUGAUUUGCAUUCUCAAUAUAACGACAUGAGUCGGAUUCGAUCGAAACGCAUUCGUUUGAAAAAUCACACCGUCUUAAUACACAAUAAGCUUGUUUAACUUUAUACUUUUUAACAAUUCGUGCCGUCUUUUGAUAAUGCUGCCAGUGCCUUUUACAAAUACAAACUUAUUAGUGAGCGUUUCCGUAUUAGUUUUUUCAAUUAACAAAACUACUACAAAUAGUUGUAAUAUGUUAUGCAAUUGCUUGAAAAAGCAACAAAAUUUGUCGUAUUUAAUACGACGAUUACCAGACAAUCAUGAUAUAAACGGACAACAAUUCGAUUUAAUGUUUUUUUUUUGCACCGUCGUCAUCUCUCAUUUUUUUCUUCACUUUGUCGUCACCUGAAACGACUUACAGAAUGCGGUGACACACCGGAAUAGCCUGACAAAGAGUCACGUGAGUGACUCGUCUCACCUUAGGUGACUUCGGUGAUCGCGCGAGUGAGAUAAAGUGUCACCUCACCUAAAGUGACUGUUCGGAAUAACCCCCUUGAGGGAUGACGAUGGUAAAAAAUAAACAUUGAAUACGAAAUCGUUAUCCGUAUAAAUUUUGAUUAACUGGUAUUAGUCGUAUUUGUUACUUUUCAAGUAAUUGCAUAAUAUAUUACAACUAUUCGUAGUAGUGUUGUUAAUUUAAAAAAUAAUACGGAAAAGCUGACUAAUAAAUUUGUACUUGAAAAAACACUGGCAGCAUUAUCAAAAGGCGGCAUAAAUUUUUUAAAAAGUAUAAAGUUGAACAAGCUUAUUGCGUAUUACGACAGUUUGAUUUUUCAAACGAAUGCGGUUCGAUCGCAUCCGAAUCGUGUCGUUAUAUUGAGAAUGCAAAUCACAUUCGUUCGAAAAGUGAUCCGUCGUAAUGAAGAAUAAGCUUAAUAAUAAUGUUAUGACUAAAUUCUACUCUACCACGAAGUUCUUUUUCGGAUGACAGGUUUCGUAGGUACUGUUUCGUUGGACACAGAAACUCGGAAAUAGAUUUUUCUGCGUUCUAACGUAUAAAUCUUAUUUCAUUAACAGUUCCAUGUACACUAGGUUGAUAUGUAAUAACUAAACAUUAAAAGGUAUCAUUCAACACCGAAUCAGCCUUUUUUGCUUUGAUGUUACUAAUGUGGUCGUUAGCCUGACAUCCCGGAUGAUUUCUUCGACGAUAUUUUGAUCUCAUUCAGCCCAAAUGCUAUUUGGUAAAGUGAAUGAACUCGGGGUGCCAUUGAAUUGGUGCAAUAUUUGCUGCUUGAGAAAUUUAUUGAUUGGGAAUCUGUUAUUUCGUAGGAAAAACACCGUCUGUUAUGGUAAACGAGAGACUAGAUUUUUUUUUGGUGAGACCAAAACAGUUUAUCUAGAACCGUAUCAUAAUGUCCUGUUUUUCAUCAAUUGUGAAUAAAGAACCGCUCUAAUCUAGGUCGUGAUCUGAUUGUGAUGGCGACUGCUAAUUUAAAGCAAUUAGUUUUGAUCAUACGGAUUGCUAUCUUAUGAAUCUGGAAUGAGAGUUGAGCCUAAGUCGGCUGCGUACCAGGUAAUACCAACUACGUUAACAGUUUGUAUAUUUUCCUAAAAUCUGAUGUUCAUUUGCACUUGUUGAUAUAUUAGUAUGACAAAAUACGAUUUAAAUUUAGAUCAACAUUUGCCAUUAAUUAUACGUUGGCGCAUCGUUUAACAUUUCCCUAUUGAAAACAGGAAUUUAGUAGAAAUAGCAAUUAUUUUUAUUAGAUAAGGUAAAUGUUCCUAAAUCAUAAUUUGUGCUGAUAAUGAUGUAGUACUACUACCUAUUGCAGUACAAUCGAUAUACAAUGGAAAGAACGACAAUUUAUGGGAAAAAUGCAUUUUCGGCAAAAACUUUGGUCACAUCAUUAGCGUUUCUGCAUUAGAAUCGUCAGACAGCCUUUUUUUUCAAUUUGUUUAUUUGAUAAGGCACGUAUGCGUUAGCUCAAAGGUGCCAUUUUUUCAUUGUUUUACAUUUUGAAUUUCUUAAAACUAGGGGGUUACACAUUUCAGUAUUAUUUUGUUUUAUAUAAUGAAACUAAAAAAAAACUUUACAGCUUACUUAUAAAUAUAAAAGAGGGUAUAAUAUAAUAUUCGUAAGAUUUGGGGGACGGGUCAUUUUGUGUGUUCUUUUUAUAGUAAUUCACUUUAUGAUUUUUAGAAGGGAGAUUGUAGGAGAAAUUAAUUAUCAACUAAGCGGAACAUUUUACAAGCUUAUUAACUAGAAAUAACUAGAGAGAGUUGUUCAAGAUUAGGGGGAAUUAAUUAGAACUAUUUUAAAGUAGUGGUACUGUUGUGCAUUUCUUAACGAGAUUAAAUAUUGAUCAACUAAAACUAGAAGAUAGGGGGGCACAUAAGUUUUGGGAAGAUAUUCAAGGGGAGCAAAGGGUGAAGUCAUACAUCUGUGUAUCAGAGAC